GUGCUCACUUCGGCAGCACAUAUACUAAAAUUGGAACGACACAGAGAAGAUUAGCAUGGCCCCUGUGCAAGGAUGACACGCAGAUUUGUGAAGCAUUCCAUAUUUUU
rnacentral:snRNA from 1 species